rnacentral:SRP_RNA from 1 species
GCCGGGCGUGGUGGCUCACGCCUGUAAUCCCAGCACUUUGGGAGGCCGAGGCGGGUGGAUCACCUGAGGUCAGGAGUUCGAGACCAGCCUGGCCAACAUGGUGAAAACCCGUCUCUA